rnacentral:rRNA from 1 species
UGCGGCGGACGGGUGAGUAACACGUGGGUAACCUGCCUGUAAGACUGGGAUAACUCCGGGAAACCGGAGCUAAUACCGGAUAGUUCCUUGAACCGCAUGGUUCAAGGAUGAAAGACGGUUUCGGCUGUCACUUACAGAUGGACCCGCGGCGCAUUAGCUAGUUGGUGGGGUAAUGGCUCACCAAGGCGACGAUGCGUAGCCGACCUGAGAGGGUGAUCGGCCACACUGGGACUGAGACACGGCCCAGACUCCUACGGGAGGCAGCAGUAGGGAAUCUUCCGCAAUGGACGAAAGUCUGACGGAGCAACGCCGCGUGAGUGAUGAAGGUUUUCGGAUCGUAAAGCUCUGUUGUUAGGGAAGAACAAGUGCGAGAGUAACUGCUCGCACCUUGACGGUACCUAACCAGAAAGCCACGGCUAACUACGUGCCAGCAGCCGCGGUAAUACGUAGGUGGCAAGCGUUGUCCGGAAUUAUUGGGCGUAAAGGGCUCGCAGGCGGUUUCUUAAGUCUGAUGUGAAAGCCCCCGGCUCAACCGGGGAGGGUCAUUGGAAACUGGGAAACUUGAGUGCAGAAGAGGAGAGUGGAAUUCCACGUGUAGCGGUGAAAUGCGUAGAGAUGUGGAGGAACACCAGUGGCGAAGGCGACUCUCUGGUCUGUAACUGACGCUGAGGAGCGAAAGCGUGGGGAGCGAACAGGAUUAGAUACCCUGGUAGUCCACGCCGUAAACGAUGAGUGCUAAGUGUUAGGGGGUUUCCGCCCCUUAGUGCUGCAGCUAACGCAUUAAGCACUCCGCCUGGGGAGUACGGUCGCAAGACUGAAACUCAAAGGAAUUGACGGGGGCCCGCACAAGCGGUGGAGCAUGUGGUUUAAUUCGAAGCAACGCGAAGAACCUUACCAGGUCUUGACAUCCUCUGACAACCCUAGAGAUAGGGCUUUCCCUUCGGGGACAGAGUGACAGGUGGUGCAUGGUUGUCGUCAGCUCGUGUCGUGAGAUGUUGGGUUAAGUCCCGCAACGAGCGCAACCCUUGAUCUUAGUUGCCAGCAUUUAGUUGGGCACUCUAAGGUGACUGCCGGUGACAAACCGGAGGAAGGUGGGGAUGACGUCAAAUCAUCAUGCCCCUUAUGACCUGGGCUACACACGUGCUACAAUGGACAGAACAAAGGGCUGCGAGACCGCAAGGUUUAGCCAAUCCCAUAAAUCUGUUCUCAGUUCGGAUCGCAGUCUGCAACUCGACUGCGUGAAGCUGGAAUCGCUAGUAAUCG